rnacentral:rRNA from 1 species
UACGUAGGGUGCGAGCGUUAAUCGGAAUUACUGGGCGUAAAGUGUGCGCAGGCGGCCGCGCAAGUCGAGUGUGAAAUCCCCGAGCUUAACUUGGGAAUUGCGCUCGAAACUACGUGGCUGGAGUGUGGCAGAGGAAGGUGGAAUUCCACGUGUAGCGGUGAAAUGCGUAGAUAUGUGGAGGAACACCGGUGGCGAAGGCAGCCUUCUGGGCCAACACUGACGCUCAUGCACGAAAGCGUGGGGAGCAAACAGG